rnacentral:rRNA from 1 species
UGGGGAAUUUUGGACAAUGGACGCAAGUCUGAUCCAGCCAUGCCGCGUGCGGGAAGAAGGCCUUCGGGUUGUAAACCGCUUUUGUCAGGGAAGAAACGAGUUUCUCUAAUACAGAGACUUAAUGACGGUACCUGAAGAAUAAGCACCGGCUAACUACGUGCCAGCAGCCGCGGUAAUACGUAGGGUGCAAGCGUUAAUCGGAAUUACUGGGCGUAAAGCGUGCGCAGGCGGUGAUGUAAGACAGUUGUGAAAUCCCCGGGCUCAACCUGGGACCUGCAUUUGUGCCUGUAUAGCUAGAGUACGGUAGAGGGGGAUGGAUUUCCGCGGGUAGCAGUGAAAUGCGUAGAUAUGCGGAGGAACACCGAUGGCGAAGGCAAUCCCCUGGACCUGUACUGACGCUCAUGCACGAAAGCGUGGGGAGCAAACA